GUAAAAUGACUGCACAUUUUUCAUGUUAGAAUUGCAUUUUUUUCCCCUAAUGAAUUUCAUAUUAAAUGUUGAAAAAGAAAAAAAAAGGAUAAUGUCAAUUAAAAACAUCAACUGUGAAAGCCGUCGUCCAAAUUUCCAGCAACCUGUCAAAGCACACCAUACCACCCUCGGGUCCACUCACCCAACAGAAACGCAGACAAAGUCCAGAAUGUUCCAGCAGUUUCCGUUUCCUCAUCCAUGAUGUACGAUGACAAGGGGGGGCUACUGCUUUCCGCCAUGAUGGCUUUCAGAGAGUAAUUCUUUCAGUUGUAUCUGUAAUUGAAGGCUGAAUGGUAGGACAUUUGUUGAAUUGUAAAAAUGUCUUUUUGUCCCAUCCGCUUAGGGGACAGCAGAGCCUCUGAGCCACCGUCCAGCUCGACCCUCUGUCUCUGAGCGGAAUGGCAGCUGUCCUCACUGUAAGAUUGGUUUACUGAGCAGCUGUUUGGCUGCGGAGAAUAAAUAUAGAUGAUGAGUGUGAUUAUGACAAUGGGUGGCAUUACAACACUGGGUUUGAGUGGAUGACAUGUGUCAGAGCUGAGAGGGAAGGUCACAAGAGCCUGUCAGGACUCAGGAGCUGCUUUGAAGCAGGUAAGAACAGAACUGGUUUGAAUUCCAAUGAGACAAUUGUUUUUUUUAUUUUAGUCUAUAUAAAUAAAAUUGAAUAAAAUCAAAUAAAAAUUCACUUAAAUUCCCACCCCAAUCAUAUUUUUGAUCUAUUUUAAAAGCGUGGCCAGUCUUUUUUUUUUUUACUAUAAUGAUGAACAAAAAAGAAAACAUUUAAGUUUAUCCAGAGCAGCAGCAGUUCAUCAGACAUUACUUGAUGUGGGCAGGACCGUUAAUGCAGAGCAACCCCACACCCUUUCCUGUUGCUGAGAGCUUUCUGUUUACUCACUCUCCUGUUAGCUCAAAGCUUGUCACACCCCCAACCUAGCAUUACCUGUGCAAAAAAACGGCAAGCGAUAUUGGAGCUCUUCAGUCAAAGAGUUUUGAGUCAGAAGCAAGCUCAAAACCUAAAGGUUCAUGGAUCUAUUUGUCUGCAAGUGCAUGCAUCGGAAUGGAGCAGAGCGGGAAGUUUGCGGUCCGCCCAACAUAUUUUUAUAUUUUUUCAUUGGCUCUUUUGAAUAAAGAAAUACUCAGAAAUGUAAUUUUGUGCUUAAUUUUUAUCAUCAGAAAAAUGCCACAAGAACAUGUUAAAAACACCAAAUACACAAAUGUCCUUUGGGUAUUACUGUAAAGAAAAAACAAAUCCUUCAGAAUGACAAGAAACCCUCUGGUUUAGCUGUGACUGCAGCAUCUACCAGUCGUGGCAACCCUCUUUAGGUAACGACACACCGAUGGUGUUUUAUUGAUAUGGAAAUUUCAUCCCUUGAUUUUGUCUUAUCUUGUGUUUCUUUUUUUUUGACUUUUUAAAAUUGUUUUAUUUAACCCCUUCAAAAAAAUCAGUGUGUUUUCACUUUUAAGGUGCUAAAUUAGAAUAGAAUAGAAUGGAAUAGAAUAGAAUAGCUUUAUUGUCAUCAUAUAGAGUACAACAAAAUGUAGCAACAUCUCCCUUGUGCAAA